rnacentral:rRNA from 1 species
GACGAACGCUGGCGGCGUGCUUAACACAUGCAAGUCGAACGGAAAGGCCCUGCUUUUGUGGGGUGCUCGAGUGGCGAACGGGUGAGUAACACGUGAGUAACCUGCCCUUGACUUUGGGAUAACUUCAGGAAACUGGGGCUAAUACCGGAUAGGAUCUCCUGCUGCAUGGUGGGGGUUGGAAAGUUUCGGCGUUUGGGGAUGGACUCGCGGCUUAUCAGCUUGUUGGUGGGGUAGUGGCUUACCAAGGCUUUGACGGGUAGCCGGCCUGAGAGGGUGACCGGCCACAUUGGGACUGAGAUACGGCGCAGACUCCUACGGGAGGCAGCAGUGGGGAAUAUUGCACAAUGGGCGGAAGCCUGAUGCAGCAACGCCGCGUGCGGGAUGACGGCCUUCGGGUUGUAAACCGCUUUCGCCUGUGACGAAGCGUGAGUGACGGUAAUGGGUAAAGAAGCACCGGCUAACUACGUG